rnacentral:snRNA from 1 species
GGAAUGAGGUCAGCCUGGUUCUGGUAUCUGUUGCCUCAUCAAUUGUCAGCAUUGAUUCAGCUAGUCUGAUAGAAAGACCAGUAUCCUCUUUCUCCAUCGCCAUUCCACAUAUGUUCCUCAAAAGAUGCCCCCAAGGCUGAAGAGGAAAACCUUCUCUUAGGGCAGUGGUUCUCAACAUGUGGGUCUCAAUCCCUUUGGGGUCACAUGUCAGAUGUCCAGCAUAUCAGAUAUUUGCAUUAUCAUUCAUAACAAUAGCAAAAUUAC